GGAAACAAAGGCUGGGAUCAUGAUGGGGAGGCAAGAAGAGGCAGAACUCUGCAGGCUAGGUGAAGAUAAAAGAGCAUUUGUGGAGGAGGAAGGCAGAUUCCACCUCCACAGCUCCAACUGUGAGGCCUCACCAAUAAACAGAGGCAUCAGCAUUUGUAUAGAAGAAUGAGGAAGGAGAGCUUGCUCCAUAUGCACUUUCAUCAGGAGCUGCUGGAUCCAUACCCAGCACUGGUGUGCAGAGCUGUUCCUGGCAAAGGAAGCUUACAGGCUGCCCAUCUACUUCAAGCCUACCUGGGAUACCUGUCUUUAAUUGACAUUAAAGCCACAUUUGCAGCAUGAUCCACCUAAAGUGGUAGAUGUGCUUAGCAGAGGGAGCAAUAGUAGUAAUGACAUGUAUUUUGUGUGAUUUUUCACCAGGGAUGGACCAGUUCCUCUAAAUAGAUUACUUUAUUUACAGGGAUAAUCCCCCCCACCCCGGUUUUCAUUGCACUCUCUGCAAAGAGCAAGCAGUAUGUUAAAAAACUUGUCUUCUAUCUAAACCUGUCUUUUAAUCCCCCAGAUGUAUUCUUAAAAUUAAAAUACAGUUGCUUUCUUUCAUUGUGAAGUCACUCAACAAUUAGCCUGCUGGAAAUUUUAAUUCAUAUUAAUGAGAUGCAGUUCUGACUGACAUCUGUCAAAGAGAGUAGGGGAAGGUGGAGAAAAUGAUGUUUCUAAACAGGGAUAGAAAAAUGGAACCUCCUUGCCAGGACCCUGAGCAAAUCCCCUUCUGGAGCAUAGCUGGCUAUAUCCAAGGUCAACUAGCAUCCACUGAUAAGGGCUGUUGUGAAGAAAAACAGAAGCUCAGGCCUGUCUUCCUGCCUCCUAGCAGCUGUUUUUAGCUGAGGCUUUAUCCCUGGCCCCACCUGUGCUGCACUGCUGCUGCGCUGCAGUGGUGCCUGUGCCCUGCUGCUGCUGUGCUUCUUACCCUGAUCCAGCUCCUCCAGAUCAGCUUCCUGACUUGCCCUUGUACCUGUCCUGCUGCUACAGACUUGCUUGGUGACCACACAUCGGUGUCUGAUGCUGGUUGCUGCCCUGGACCUGAUCCUGUCCUGGCUUCUCAGCACCCCAGCUCCUUGCUGGUGAGGGCUCAGCUUUGCUGGCCAUGCUGCCAGAGAACGGCACUGUGCUCCUCACAGCACCUUGAUUCGUUUUUGGGUUUUCCAGGGAACAAUUUAAGCACAUUCUCUAAAAUUGCCUUCAAUUCAAAAGCCAAGUGAAGCUGAAUUGCCUCGUGUGGCCACAUGCUGAAGCUGUUUCUGCCCAGCUCAUUAUUUCCAAUGAAUAACAGCAGAUUUGUCAAUAUUUAUAUUGUAUCCUCAGUAGAAGUCAGCUUGUCUAAGCUGAAGUCAAUAUCAACUAUACUGAUUCAUGCUGGUUGAAAAAUCUGUUCAUAUUUUCUAAAUGCUUCAGUUGAGUUAAAACCCUUCCACCUUUAGAACAAGAAAUAUCUUGUGUUAAUAUCUCCAUGUUAAUAUUUUCCCAUUAUGUAGAUCAGAGGCUCGAGGAACAACAUUAGCACUUUCUUUCAGUGCCAUUUAUAGCUUUUGACAGUUUCCUGACAUUGAUAAAGCGUGUUAUGAAAAGCAGAGUCAGCAGGCUGAAGACACUGACUGGGUUAUGUUUUUAUUAAAAGCAUUAUUCAGCUGUCACAUAAUGUCACAUGUAAAUAUCCUCAUGAUGUUCUAGCAAAGCAGUAUUGUAUAAGCACAAGGCCUCUCUUUCCCCUGUUGCCUUUGCUGUAAGAAUACCACACCAGUUGUAAGAGAAGGCAAUGGGGGUCCUGAAGUUCAAAUCCACCCCUCCUGGUUUGUGGGAGUUCCUGAGGUCCUGGGCACAGGACACAUGAAUUCUCAAGCUAUAUGAGAGAGGUGUUACCUUCCAGAUAGAUAUCUCAAAAUCUAAACAAAUAUUUAGAACCACAAUUCUGACUUCAUUUUUCAUGUGAAUAAGUGCUCUCACAUUGAUCUGCAUUAUAAACUCUGCUUUGAACUCAAUUGUGAUGUAUUCUGUGGAGAUUAUCACCUCUGAACUCAGUUGUAAUAUACUCUGUGGAGAUUAUUUGGACUACUCCCAUUGCAGCGUGCACCUCACAACAAAGACAGCUCUUUGUGUACUAGACUCGCCAGUAAAGCCAUGUCUUGUGGAGUACCCCCUGACUAGUUCAGGAUCUGAAUAUGUGUAGCUAUGACAGCUCAGGGCUCAUCUUCAGUCUUUAUUUCUGCUGCCCUGUGGCUGGAUUAUAACCUGCAAUUCAAUUUCUUUGCAACUACAUUACUGAAAAUCUGCAGAGCUGUCCUGGAGUAGCUGCAGUGAUUGGCAUGACAGGUCCUUCUGCCUGCCUUGACACAACAGGGUGAUGGAUAGCAGAGAGUUCCAUAGAACCAUAGAACAGGAUCAGGGAAUCAUUUAGAUUGGAAAAGACCCUUAAGAUCGUCAAGCCCAAUCAUUAACCUAGCAUCACCAAGUUCACCACUGAACCCUGUCAUAAAUGCUACAUCUACUCAUUUUUUAAAUACCUCCAGGGAUAAUGGAAAUGGAAAUUACUUUCCUGGG